GACGAACGCUGGCGGCGUGCUUAACACAUGCAAGUCGAACGGUGAUGCCCCAGCUUGCUGGAGUGGAUCAGUGGCGAACGGGGGAGUAACACGUGAGCAACCUGCCCCAGACUGUGGAAGAAGCGCUGGAAACGGCGGCUAAUACUGGAUACGAAACUGGCGCGCAUGGGCAUGGUGUGGAAAGUUUGUCGGUUUGGGAUGGGCUCGCGGCCUAUGAGCUUGUUGGGGAGGUAGUGGCAGACCAAGGCGAGGACGGGUAGCCGGCCUGCGAGGGCGACCGGCCACACUGGAACGGAGACACGGCCCAGACUCCUACGGGACGCAGCAGUGGGGAAUAUUGCACAAUGGGCGAAAGCCUGAUGCAGCGACGCCGCGUGGGGGAUGACGGCCUUCGGGUUGUAAACCUCUUUCAGCAGGGAAGAAGCGAAAGUGACGGUACCUGCAGAAGAAGCACCGGCUAACUACGUG
rnacentral:rRNA from 1 species